UUGCUUUGGCAGCAUACAUACUAAAACUGGAAAGAUACAGAGAAAAUUAGCUUGGCUCCUGCGCAAGGACGACACGCAAAUUCAUGAAGCAUUCCACAUUAAA
ensembl:snRNA U6 U6 spliceosomal RNA